rnacentral:rRNA from 1 species
UACGUAGGUGGCAAGCGUUGUCCGGAUUUACUGGGCGUAAAGAGCGCGCAGGCGGUCGUUCAAGUCGCGUGUGAAAGCCCCCGGCUCAACUGGGGAGGGUCACGCGAUACUGAUCGACUGGAAGGCAGGAGAGGGUAGUGGAAUUCCCGGUGUAGUGGUGAAAUGCGUAGAUAUCGGGAGGAACACCAGUGGCGAAGGCGGGUUGCUGGGCCGACACUGACGCUGAGGCGCGAAAGCUAGGGGAGCGAACGGG